GAUGAACGCUGGCGGCGUGCCUAAUACAUGCAAGUCGAGCGAACAGACGAGGAGCUUGCUCCUCUGACGUUAGCGGCGGACGGGUGAGUAACACGUGGAUAACCUACCUAUAAGACUGGGAUAACUUCGGGAAACCGGAGCUAAUACCGGAUAAUAUAUUGAACCGCAUGGUUCAAUAGUGAAAGACGGUUUUGCUGUCACUUAUAGAUGGAUCCGCGCCGCAUUAGCUAGUUGGUAAGGUAACAGCUUACCAAGGCAACGAUGCGUAGCCGACGUGAGAGGGUGAUAGGACACACUGGAAAUGAGACACGGUCCAGACUCCUACGGGAGGCAGCAGGAGGGAAUCUUCCGCAAUGGUCGAAAGCCUGACGGAGCGACGCCGCGCGAGUGAUGAAGGUCGUCGGAUUGUAAAACUCUGGUAUGAGGGAAGAACAAAUGUGUAAGUGAAUAUGCACGUGUUGACGGUAACUGAUGAGAAAGCCACGGCUAACUACGUG
rnacentral:rRNA from 1 species